rnacentral:rRNA from 1 species
UAUAUUAAGUUGUUGCAGUUAAAAGCUCGUAGUUGAAUUUCGAGACCGGCUUACUGGUCGUGCUUUUGUACGUACUGGUAUUAUCGGUUUCUCCUUUCUGACGAACUAUAAUGCCAUUAAUUUGGUGUUAUGGGGAAUCAGGACUGUUACUUUGAAAAAAUUAAA